rnacentral:rRNA from 1 species
AACGAACGCUGGCGGCAUGCCUAACACAUGCAAGUCGGACGAGACCUUCGGGUCUAGUGGCGCACGGGUGCGUAACGCGUGGGAACCUGCCCUUAGGUUCGGAAUAACUCCCCGAAAGGGGUGCUAAUACCGGAUAAUGUCUUCGGACCAAAGAUUUAUCGCCUUUGGAUGGGCCCGCGUUGGAUUAGCUAGUUGGUAGGGUAAAAGCCUACCAAGGCGACGAUCCAUAGCUGGUCUGAGAGGAUGAUCAGCCACACUGGGACUGAGACACGGCCCAGACUCCUACGGGAGGCAGCAGUGGGGAAUAGUGGACAAGGGGCGAAAGCCUGAGCAAGCAAGGCCGCGUGAGUGAUGAAGGCAUGAGGGUUGUAAAGCGCUUUUACCCGGGAGGAUAAUGACAGUACCGGGAGAAUAAGCUCGGGCUAACUCCGUG